rnacentral:rRNA from 1 species
AGAGUUUGAUCCUGGCUCAGAAUCAACGCUGGCGGCGUGCCUCAGACAUGCAAGUCGAACGAUUAAAGCUCCCUUCGGGGAGUGCAUAAAGUGGCGCACGGGUGAGUAACACGUAAGUAAUCUACCCUCGGGUGGGGAAUAGCAUCGGGAAACCGAUGCUAAUACCGCAUAAUGCAGCGGCACCGCAAGGUGACAGUUGUUAAAGAUUUAUUGCCUGGGGAGGAGCUUGCGGCAGAUUAGCUUGUUGGUAAGGUAACGGCUUACCAAGGCUACGAUCUGUAUCCGGUCUAAGAGGACGGUCGGACACACUGACACUGAAUAACGGGUCAGACUCCUACGGGAGGCAGCAGUCGGGGAUUUUGGGCAAUGGGGGAAACCCUGACCCCAGCACGCCGCGUGAAGGAUGAAGUAUUUCGGUAUGUAAACUU